AAAUCCGUCGACUUUAGAAAUCGUGAGGGUUCAAGUCCCUCUAUCCCCA
rnacentral:tRNA from 584 species